CCAGGGAAUGUGAUGGUGGAGCCUGGAAGCUUGGAGACACCAGGAACCACAGAGCUCCAAAGAGGGUGUCACAGCCAUGGCUCAGAGAGCAACAAGGUCUGGGCUCCCCGAAGGGCCGCAGCUCUUCUCUCCUUCUCGCUUCUCAUCACCUGCAAUGUGGAGAGUAAGGGGCGUGUUUCAGCCCUGCUUGCGUUACAGCUCUUUCAGCCCCAUCAUUCAGCAGAUCCCGAGCUCUUGUCCAGCAUCCAGGAAGACUGAGCAAAAGUGGGCAUAAAUACAUUAAGGA
rnacentral:lncRNA from 1 species